ensembl:lncRNA
GACUGAUGCAAGCCAGAUCCUUUUAUUUAGCAAAACUGUGAUUAAUAGUUAAAUAUUAUUUUUGAGGGGCAAAGACAGGACUCUGCAAGUACAUACACAUUUAAAAAAAUAAAAUAAAAUUAAAAUAAAAAAAAAAAACAAGCCUGAACAAAAGGGCACUUUGGGCACCCAUCAGGAAAGGGGCGGGUGCUCAAGCCCCUCCCACCUCCCCUCCUCUGCACGUGCCUCUUCGAGUGAUUUACUAAUCUAGGGGUGGGUGCUCAGUGGGUGCAGUCAAAGCUGUCCCCCAGUUCCUGUAUAGAGUCUUUGGUCCAGACUGGAACAACUGUGUGCCCAGUUUGAGCUCUCUUCAGUGCUGUGACCUGACAGACCCAGAGGGGCCAUCACAUCACAUUUACAAGCUUCCCUAAUGGAGCCACAACACAUGUCCAAUACUUAGUCUGUCUUGUUGGACAAACUGGAAGAAAUGAUUCAAGGACAGAAUUGAGAUUCAAAUCUCCAAAAUCCAACUGGCUGCAUCAGAGCAUAUAGUCUGAAAACUCUGCACAGUUUCCUGUUUGAAGCUGCUUCAUGUUGGCUUCAGCUGUUUGGAGUUUCCAUUUUCUAAACUUCUGAACCUUCUUCAGCUCUGAACAGAUUAUGAAACACUGAAUGAUUUCAAGCUCACACUUUGUCUAAUAAACUUCCAUCUUUCAUUAUUUAUACAGAUUGGAGACCUGUGAUUUGUCAAAGAUCAGCUGUGAUUAUCUGGCAGCAGCGCUGAAGUCCAACCCCUCCCAUCUGAGAGAGCUGUACCUGUGGGGAAACAACCUGCAGGAUCCAGAUGUGAAGCAGCUGUCUGAUCUUAAGGAGAGUCCAGACUGCAGACUGGAGACUCUGAGGUGGAGAUGGUGGUAAACAGGACGGUGUGUGCUGAGAGAGGAGGAGCUGUGUCCUGAUGAUUCAGAGAGGUUGAAGCAGCAGCAGCUUGUGUGUAGAGACGCUCUGACUGGGCCAUGUUACUGGGAGGUGGAGAGGAGAGCUUCAUCCAGCAGUGACUGACAGAGGAAUGAAGUGCAGAUGACUGUCAGUGCUGCAGAGUGAACUGCUCUGAGAACAUCUCCACUGUCAGACACAAUGUAGAGUCCAGCAUCAUCCCUGUGUGUCCCUCUGGAUCUGACAGAGGAUCAUCAGUGUAUCUGGACUGCUCUGCUGCUGCUCUGUCCUUCUACAGUCUCUGCACAGUCUCUGUCUAACACUGGCUUCAGACCCUCCUGGAUCAAACUCACCUGGAAAGGCUUUCAAACACCUUUGAAUAAUAAACAUCAUGUUUUUAUAAGAUAAAUAUCAUGUUUUCAUUAGGGGUGCAACAAUACUCGUAUCAAUAGUGAACCGUUCGAUACACUGCUUUCGGUUCGGUACGCAUAUGUAUCGAACAAUACAAAUUUUUUUAUUUAUUUUAUCAACUUUUUGUCUGACGAUGCUGUCUGUGUUGAGCGCUCAGUGGAUCUGCGUUUGACCACUCCUCUUACGCUGCACUGUCGAGUGCAGAUCCACUGAGCUUAGCGCAAGCUAGCAAGACA